UGGCGAACGGGUGAGUAACACGUGGGUGAUCUGCCCUGCACUUCGGGAUAAGCCUGGGAAACUGGGUCUAAUACCAGAUAGGAGCCAUUUUUAGUGUGAUGGUUGGAAAGUUUUUUUCGGUGUAGGAUGAGCUCGCGGCCUAUCAGCUUGUUGGUGGGGUAAUGGCCUACCAAGGCGGCGACGGGUAGCCGGCCUGAGAGGGUGGACGGCCACAUUGGGACUGAGAUACGGCCCAG
rnacentral:rRNA from 1 species